UAUUGCUCUUCAACGAGGAAUGCCUAGUAAGCGCAUGUCAUCAGCAUGCGUUGAUUACGUCCCUGCCCUUUGUACACACCGCCCGUCGCUACUACCGAUUGAAUGGCUUAGUGAGGCCUUCGGACUGGCUCAGGGAGGUCGGCAACGACCACCCAGAGCCGGAAAGUUCGUCAAACUAGGUCAUUUAGAGGAAGUAAAAGU
rnacentral:rRNA from 1 species